UACGUAGGUGGCAAGCGUUAUCCGGAUUUACUGGGUGUAAAGGGCGUGUAGGCGGGACUGCAAGUCAGAUGUGAAAAUUAUGGGCUCAACCCAUAACCUGCAUUUGAAACUGUAGUUCUUGAGUGAUGGAGAGGCAGGCGGAAUUCCGUGUGUAGCGGUGAAAUGCGUAGAUAUAUGGAGGAACACCGGUGGCGAAAGCGGCUCUCUGGCCUGUAACUGACACUGAGGCUCGAAAGCGUGGGGAGCAAACAGG
rnacentral:rRNA from 1 species